AACGCGGAGUUGUCGAAGCUUUCUCUCAAGGUUAUCAAGAACUUCGGGCUGAGAUUCACGAGUAACACGAACUGCAGCCGCAGCUUCAUCGACCAAGUCGAUGGCAGAAUCUGGAAGACGACGAGAAGUUAGGUACCGGGAAGCGAGAUGGGCAGCAGUAACCAAGGCACGGUCAGAGAUAGUAACACCAUGAUGAACCUCAUACUUUUCUUUAAGACCACGAAGGAUAGAAAUCGUAUCUUCAAUAGAAGGCUCUUUUACCAAGAUGAUUUGGAAUCUACGUUCGAAAGCAGCAUCUUUUUCGAUGUAUUUCUUGUAUUCAGCCAAAGUAGUAGCACCAAUACAGUGAAGCUUACCACGUGCAAGCAUUGGCUUCAGCAAAUUGGCAGCGUCCAUGCCACCUUCACCACCGGAACCUGCGCCCAUUAAAAGAUGCAUUUCAUCUACGAAUAAAAUAAUGGGAGUUUCACUUUCUUCAACUUCUUUUAAAACAGAUUUGAUACGCUCUUCAAAUUCACCACGAAAUUUGGAGCCGGCAACUAAGCUUCCGACGUCCAGGCUGAGAAGCUUACAAUUCGAAAGAUUAGCGGGGACAUCAUCGUCAAUUAUACGACGAGCAAGUCCUUCAGCAAUGGAGGUCUUACCUACACCAGGCUCACCAAUAAGAACUGGAUUAUUUUUCGUUCUUCUAGAAAGUACGCGAAUUGUACGACGAAUUUCAUCUUCACGUCCGAUAACUGGAUCCAGUUGACCAUUUCUAGCGAGCUCUGUAAGAUCAACAGUAAAUUUAUUUAGUGCAUCAAAUCCUUCCUCGGCAUUCUUUGAAUCGAUUCUUUUAUUACCACGGACGUUAUUUACAGCAAAUUCAAACGCUUUCGGGGUGACACCGGCUUCUGCCAAUAAACUCUUUAGCGUGUCGUCUUUAGUGAACACAGCGAUAAAAUGAUCUUGAGCAAUGUAAGAAUCUUUUUGUGUUUUUUGAAGUUCAUGAGCAUUUCGCAGCAGUUUCGCACUUUCAGGUGACAGAGUCACUUGUUCUGGAGGUGGAUCCUGAGCAGGCAAGCGAACUAACCGACUAGUAACACUUCGCUCAAACUUUUGACCAUCACCACCAGCUUUGUCGACGAUGGUGCGCAGUAAGGUAGUACCGUUACUGUCACUGUCGGACAAAAGAGCAGCAGCAAUGUGAAUAGGGGUUAAUUGUGAAUGACCAUAAGAUUGUGCAAUUGAGUACGCAUCAGACAAUGUCUUUGCGGCUUUGUCAGUAAAAGGAUAAUCAGCCAUAUCGAGUUAUAUUAUUAUAGGAAUUUUUAUAAUUUAUAGAUAAAUCCAAAAAAAAGGAAUUGUAUAUUUGUCGCUCGUUAUAAAACAAAAAAGAGAGAGUCGUUGAACGGUAAAUAUAUACGGUUUUCAGUUCGAUUUAAUAAGAACUUAAUAUCGUUAUUAUAAUAAAUUCUUCGGUUAUAGAUUGAUGGUUGAGGAUGCCGCAGGUAGAGAAGCUGUGCAUAUAUAUACACGAUGAUGUUACUAUGGGAAGGAAAGGAACAUACCAGAAGAUGCCAGUUACAUUGUUACUCGAACCUACUCCUACACUCUAGAAAAAGAAAGGGAUAAAGUAGGGUAAAUCCCAAAGACAUGACUAGAAGAUUUAAAAAAAUAAGAGAAAAAUAGCUUAAAAAAAAACCGGUGUAAAUUAAAAAUGCAGUUACCUUAAAAGUCUUUGAAUUGUCUUUAAACAUGGAAUACUCGAAACCCGGAAAUGAUCUGCGUAUUACGUAGUGUAUGGAACAACGUAAAGACGGAUACUAACCUCAACUUAUUCUCAAUUGCAUCUUGCUAAAUACCGUUAGAAUUCAUCAAUGACUGAAUAAAUAAUUUUUUGAUACAUAGUUCUUCUAUUACAGAGAUUCUAGUCAUAUUUCCAAGCUAUUUCUAAGAUAGAGCUCUUACAUUACUUAUUCUAUACGGUAGCGAUUAUUCGUCGUAAUGACAUUUAACGAACUUUAGUUACUUGACCAUAGUGGUUUAUAAACUAAACAAACCAACAGUGAAUUCUUGUUAACGUAACUGUAAUCUACGAAUAUUGAGAAGAAAAAAAAACGAAUGAAUUUGUUGUGAAUACAUAUUUUUUCCUUAGCGAACAAGUAUACUUCAUUCUUAUUUUCAUACCUCUUUAGUCUUAUUUAAACCAGCAAUAAAAUUCGUU